rnacentral:rRNA from 1 species
GACGAACGCUGGCGGCGUGCUUAACACAUGCAAGUCGAACGGAAAGGCCCUGCUUUUGUGGGGUGCUCGAGUGGCGAACGGGUGAGUAACACGUGAGUAACCUGCCCUUGACUUUGGGAUAACUUCAGGAAACUGGGGCUAAUACCGGAUAGGAGCUUCUGCUGCAUGGUGGGGGUUGGAAAGGUCCGGCGGUUGGGGAUGGACUCGCGGCUUAUCAGCUUGUUGGUGGGGUAGUGGCGUACCAAGGCUUUGACGGGUAGCCGGCCUGAGAGGGUGACCGGGCACAAUGGGACUGAGAUACGGAGCAGACUCCUACGGGAGGCAGCAGUGGGGAAUAUUGCACAAUGGGCGGAAGCGUGAUGCAGAAACGCCGCGUGCGGGAUGACGGCCUUCGGGUUGUAAACCGCUUUCGCCUGUGACGAAGCGUGAGUGACGGUAAUGGGUAAAGAAGCACCGGCUAACUACGUG